ensembl:lncRNA
UGCUGGGGUUGUUGGGUUUGGUGGAGGCUGUGGUAAGACUGUGGGGGAGUAGGGGUGGAUACUAAGGGUGUUUGGUGGAGUGGAGGAUGGGGAAGGCUUGAUGCAGUAAGGGUAUAUUCUGAGUUCAGCUACAUUCUACAGUAGGUUACUCUCCCAUGGUACAGUAGGUUACUCUCCCAUAUGGCUAAGUUGAUUGUUCAUCUACAGUAGGUUACUCUCCCAUAUGGCUGAGUUGACUGUUCAGCUACUGUAGGUUAUUCCCCAAUAUGGCUGAGUUGACUGUUCAGCUACUGGAGGUUACUCUCCCAUGCUAGUGUAGGUUACUCUCCCAUCCUACUGUAGGUUACUCUCCCAUGCUACUGUAGGUUACUCUCCCAUGCUACUGUAGGUUACUCUCCCAUGCUACUCUAGGUCACUCUCCCAUGCUACUGUAGGUUACUCUCCCAUGUUACUGUAGGUUACACUCCCAUGCUACUGUAGGUUUCUCUCCCAUGCUACUGUAGGUUACUCUCCUAUGCUACUGUAGGUUACUCUCCCAUGAUACUGUUGGUUACUCUCCCAUGCUACUAUAGGUUACUCUCCCAUGUUAUUGUAGGUUACUCUCCCAUGUUACUGUAGGUUACUCUCCCAUGCUACUAUAGGUUACUCUCCCAUGCUACCCAUGCUACUGUAGGUUACUCUUCCAUGCUACUGUAGGUUACUCUCCCAUGCUACUGUAGGUUAUUCUCAGAUGUUACUGUAGGUUACUCUCCCAUGCUACUGUAGGUUACUCUCCCAUGCUACUGUAGGUUUCUCUCCCAUGCUACUGUAGGUUACUCUCCCAUGCUACUGUAGGUUACUCUCCCAUGUUACUGUAGGUUACUCUCCCAUGCUACUCUAGGUCACUCUCCCAUGCUACUGUCGGUUACUCUCCCAUGCUACUGUAGGUUACUCUCCCAUGAUACUGUAGGUUACUCUCCCAUGAUACUGUAGGUUAUUCUCAGAUGUUACUGUAGGUUACUCUCCCAUGCUACUCUAGGUCACUCUCCCAUGAUACUGUAGGUUAUUCUCAGAUGUUACUGUAGGUUACUCUCCCAUGCUACUGUAGGUUACUCUCCCAUGCUACUGUAGGUUACUCUCCCAUGAUACUGUAGGUUACUCUCCCAUGCUACUGUAGGUUACUCUCCCAUGCUACUGUAGGUUACUCUCCCAUGCUACUGUAGGUUACUCUCCCAUGUUACUGUAGGUUACUCUCCCAUGCUACUGUAGGUUAAUAUCUCGAUUGUAUCAUAAUAACUAUUGUCUGGUUUGGGAUGUGCAGUUGCGUAGUGCAGAGAAUAACAUGUACUGAUGUAGAUUGGAACAAACCAUCUACGUAAUGUUGAUGUGUCCGUUUUAAAUGUUACUAUUACUCUUAUUUUAUUCAGGUUGUGUAUGUUUCUGCUGUUGUAAAGGAAUAUAACUUUCCAGGUGAAAUGUAUCUUUGGAGAAAAUGAAAUGUUUGUGGCUUUCACUUUUUUAUUUUUUUAAAAUCUUUUGCUUGCUUGAAAACCGUGCUUACAAAUGAAUGGUGAAUAUAGCUUCUCCAUGUGUUAAUGUAGUGUUAUAAGUCACUGUGGGUGUGAGGUAGCAGUAAUAAAAUGCUGUUUUAUAACA